rnacentral:rRNA from 1 species
UACGUAGGGGGCAAGCGUUGUCCGGAAUCAUUGGGCGUAAAGAGCGCGUAGGCGGCCCGAUAAGUCCGCUGUGAAAGUCAAGGGCUUAACCCUUGAAUGCCGGUGGAAACUGUCGGGCUAGAGUCCGGAAGAGGCGAGUGGAAUUCCUGGUGUAGCGGUGAAAUGCGUAGAUAUCUGGAGGAAUACCGGUGGCGAAGGCGGCAUCCUGGACCGGCAUUGACGCUGAGGAGCGAAAGCCAGGGGAGCAAACGGG